GCCGAAACAGGGGACCGACAAGUCUCCUCCUUUUGAGCAGCCGUUCGGGCCAUGACCGACACGACGAAGGCCGAUGGCAAAGGGGGCAACCCUCAUGGGUUCGGAGAGGCCAAACCGGUGGUCGACGGUGACCACCGACGUCAGAAAUCAAAGAAAAACGGACAAAAAUAGAGGUUCUUCCGCAACAAAAUCCGGCAACUCAGAUCGCCGACGAGCAUGCACACCAGCACGGAAAGGAAAGGGGAGAAGAGAGGAAGGAGGAGGAGGCUCACCUUUAACGCUAGCGAGGCUUUCCAACG
rnacentral:lncRNA from 1 species